rnacentral:lncRNA from 1 species
UCUGCUGCAAUAAUGGUGCAGAAGUAUUUAAACUGUCCUAAUAUUUUAGUGAGAAUUCUCAGGGCUUACACUUCUUCAUCUACUGUUACAGAUUCUUUCAAAAAGUGCUCUGACGAUGCCUGGCGGCUAAAUGGUGGAAGAGCAAGAGCAUCGGAAUCUGAAAGAGAACCGAAAGGUAGAGGCCACCGGCAAAAAAAGAAAACUAGCCGCUUAUCAUCAUCAGACUCAAAUGACGAUUCGUCUGAUGAACCUACCAGAAAAAAAUCAAAGAAAGGUGGCAAGCGAGGACGGAGGAAGAGACUUGAUUCAUCUGAUGAAGAUGAGGAGAGGCGGAGGAAAAUUGAGGUGGCCUUGGAAAAAGUAACUCACAAGACUCCGUUGCCAACACCCCCUGCUUUGACAGCGAAGGACUCCUCAACCAGGAAAACAAAUGACGAGGCCUUGGAAAAGUUAACUCAUAAAGCUCCAUUGCCAACGCGCCCUACUUCGACAGCAAAAGACUCCACAACCAGAAAAACAUCAACACCAUCUUCUGAUGUUCUCUCUCGGCCAUCCACCUCCACUGCCGCUCAAUUCACAGAGGGAGUACUUACAUCGGAAACUGUAGUAGAAGGUCGCCCCAAGACUCCUGACUUUCUGCAAAAUGAUCAAGAUGGGCCCAUCAACUUGAAUACUCCCCUGAAAGAUCGGCUCAACCCAGGUCAAAGUUCAUCUCCUAAAUCAGCUCAGAGAAAGUUAAACUUUGAUAAGAACCCGCCCACUGGCCAGUCUCCGAGGAAAGCGAAGAAACCGAAAUGUAAUUUAGGCAAGAAAAUCAAACAUUCUUGCCCGUUCCUCUUCCAAGGAUCCACCAGUGAAGCGGUGAUGCACGUCCUAUGCACAUUGUCCGCUGAUAUUAAGAGUGUACUAAGCCACGCAAAAAGGUCGAAAGUUACAGCACCUGCCCCUGGAGUCGAAGAGUCGGAGGAAGUAAUAAAGAGGUCCCUCUACCUGAGGCCAUUGCAAAUCUGCUUCCGUGCCAAACCAAAGAAGCAGUUGAUGAGGCAGAAAACUUUUUAAAACAAGAUAAAGCUCAUGUUGAAACAGUGAUCAAUUAUUUCAAAUUCUUGUGUCAACACGAUUCAGGACUAUCAAAAACUGCCCGCAACAUUCUCCGAGAAUGGAUGGUGAAGGAAGUCCAACAACUCUACUCCCUAAGAGUGGGCAUGCGAAUAAGAAAUGAAAGCGGGGGCAGCAGAAAAACACGCGUUGAACAAACUAACUCUCUACUCCAUUAUCCAGAGUAAGUACUUAUAUUUUCUGCCUCA